AUUGAACGCUGGCGGCAGGCUUAACACAUGCAAGUCGAACGGUUGUAGCAAUACAGCAGUGGCGCACGGGUGAGUAACGCGUGGGAACGUGCCCUUCAGUUUUGGAUAACCACUGGAAACGGUGGCUAAUACAAAAUAUUCCCUCCGGGGGAAAGAUUUAUCGCUGAAGGAUCGGCCCGCGUUAGAUUAGGUAGUUGGUGGGGUAAAGGCCUACCAAGCCUACGAUCUAUAGCUGGUCUGAGAGGAUGAUCAGCCACACUGGAACUGAGACACGGUCCAGACUCCUACGGGAGGCAGCAGUGGGGAAUAUUGGACAAUGGGCGAAAGCCUGAUCCAGCCAUGCCGCGUGAGUGAUGAAGGCCUUAGGGUUGUAAAGCUCUUUUGUCAGGGAAGAUAAUGACGGUACCUGAAGAAUAAGCACCGGCUAACUUCGUGCCAGCAGCCGCAGUAA
rnacentral:rRNA from 1 species